CGGGGGGGUGCUAUACAUGCAAGUAGAACGCUGAAGAGAGGAGCUUGCUCUUCUUGGAUGAGUUGCGAACGGGUGAGUAACGCGUAGGUAACCUGCCUUGUAGCGGGGGAUAACUAUUGGAAACGAUAGCUAAUACCGCAUAACAAUGGAUGACACAUGUCAUUUAUUUGAAAGGGGCAAUUGCUCCACUACAAGAUGGACCUGCGUUGUAUUAGCUAGUAGGUGAGGUAAUGGCUCACCUAGGCGACGAUACAUAGCCGACCUGAGAGGGUGAUCGGCCACACUGGGACUGAGACACGGCCCAGACUCCUACGGGAGGCAGCAGUAGGGAAUCUUCGGCAAUGGGGGCAACCCUGACCGAGCAACGCCGCGUGAGUGAAGAAGGUUUUCGGAUCGUAAAGCUCUGUUGUAAGUCAAGAACGGGUGUGAGAGUGGAAAGUUCACACUGUGACGGUAGCUUACCAGAAAGGGACGGCUAACUACGUGCCAGCAGCCGCGGUAAUACGUAGGUCCCGAGCGUUGUCCGGAUUUAUUGGGCGUAAAGCGAGCGCAGGCGGUUUGAUAAGUCUGAAGUUAAAGGCUGUGGCUCAACCAUAGUUCGCUUUGGAAACUGUCAAACUUGAGUGCAGAAGGGGAGAGUGGAAUUCCAUGUGUAGCGGUGAAAUGCGUAGAUAUAUGGAGGAACACCGGUGGCGAAAGCGGCUCUCUGGUCUGUAACUGACGCUGAGGCUCGAAAGCGUGGGGAGCGAACAGGAUUAGAUACCCUGGUAGUCCACGCCGUAAACGAUGAGUGCUAGGUGUUGGAUCCUUUCCGGGAUUCAGUGCCGCAGCUAACGCAUUAAGCACUCCGCCUGGGGAGUACGACCGCAAGGUUGAAACUCAAAGGAAUUGACGGGGGCCCGCACAAGCGGUGGAGCAUGUGGUUUAAUUCGAAGCAACGCGAAGAACCUUACCAGGUCUUGACAUCCCGAUGCUAUUUCUAGAGAUAGAAAGUUACUUCGGUACAUCGGUGACAGGUGGUGCAUGGUUGUCGUCAGCUCGUGUCGUGAGAUGUUGGGUUAAGUCCCGCAACGAGCGCAACCCCUAUUGUUAGUUGCCAUCAUUCAGUUGGGCACUCUAGCGAGACUGCCGGUAAUAAACCGGAGGAAGGUGGGGAUGACGUCAAAUCAUCAUGCCCCUUAUGACCUGGGCUACACACGUGCUACAAUGGUUGGUACAACGAGUUGCGAGUCGGUGACGGCGAGCUAAUCUCUUAAAGCCAAUCUCAGUUCGGAUUGUAGGCUGCAACUCGCCUACAUGAAGUCGGAAUCGCUAGUAAUCGCGGAUCAGCACGCCGCGGUGAAUACGUUCCCGGGCCUUGUACACACCGCCCGUCACACCACGAGAGUUUGUAACACCCGAAGUCGGUGAGGUAACCUUUUGGAGCCAGCCGCUAAGGUGACAGAUU
rnacentral:rRNA from 1 species